rnacentral:lncRNA from 1 species
ACCCUGUAAACAUAGUAGAUAAAACACAAAGGGAAUCUAACUCAUCUGACUCAUAGAUCGGUUUUAAAGAUCUGAUGAAAAAAAAAAAAAAAAAAAAAACCUGUUCCAAGGAGUCUAGGCCAGGUUUUCAAUUCAGGAACGAGGUUAGGCUGCCACCCAGGUACGCUCAGCUCCUCGCCUAGCUCCUGGCACGGAACAUCUCAAACAAGUGAGCGCCAGCUGCGUCCCGUUUGCAAACUUCCCUUCGGUGUACCGUACAGAGACACGCUAAUUACGAGCACCCGAUUUACGCACGGAAAGAAAUCCACAAUUUAGGACACAGCGCGCCUUGCGGCCCUUCUUUCACGCCCGUCUCUAUGGUUGGCAGGUGACCACUCUACACUCUGGAGGACUCAGCGAGGACAGCCUCUCCUGAGGCCCCUUUACCAGCACGUGACCGGAAGUCUGGCUUGCUAUUGGCUAGAGCCGGUAGAGCCCGCCCAACCGCCUCCUGUCAGUUCCUUUAAGUAGAAGACAGAGGCCCCCGCUCGGCCUUUCGGGGACUGUGACGCCGGACCGGCCAGGUGCGUUUGUGUUGGGCCCCGGCGGGCCGGCCCGCAGCCUGGUGGGUCGCGGGGGGCGGCCUGCAGUGAUGACAUUCCAGAAAAAUGUUCCGGCUGGGCCGAGGACGUCGGAGCUUCCUGCCCUCCUCCCCGCCCACCUUUACCCCGAAGCCUCGCAAUAAAAUGGUUUGAUCCAGCGCUGGUGUUAAGCGUCUUCGUCGUCCCGACGCGCUGCCUUUGAGCCCCCGCCGCGCCUGCGCGUGGCGCCGGGGGUCAGGCUGCAGCGCCAGAGCACGCGCUUGCGCAUAACUGGGGCCGCCCGGUUCCCCCGCCGGCGGCCCUUUUAACCGCGAGCGACACGGCGGCACCUGCAGGGGACGCGAGCGUGGGGCGGGGGCGAUUUGCGACUCCAGCCUCAGCCCUUGAAGCCGAGGCUGAAACGCCCCGGGCAGACGCGGCGAUCCUCUAGGU